UACGGAGGGGGCCAGCGUUGUUCGGAAUCAUUGGGCGUAAAGGGCGCGUAGGCGGCCGACCAAGUCGGAGGUGAAAUCCCUCAGCUUAACUGGGGAACUGCGUCUGAUACUGGAUGGCUUGAGUUCGGGAGAGGGAUGCGGAAUUCCAGGUGUAGCGGUGAAAUGCGUAGAUAUCUGGAGGAACACCGGUGGCGAAGGCGGCAUCCUGGACCGACACUGACACUGAGGAGCGAAAGCCAGGGGAGCAAACGGG
rnacentral:rRNA from 1 species